rnacentral:rRNA from 1 species
UGCCAGCCGCCGCGGUAAUACGGAGGGGGCUAGCGUUGUUCGGAAUUAUUGGGCGUAAAGCGCGUGUAGGCGGUUCGUUAAGUCUGAUGUGAAAGCCCGGGGCUCAACCCCGGAAGUGCAUUGGAAACUGGCGAACUUGAGUACGGGAGAGGAAAGUGGAAUUCCGAGUGUAGGGGUGAAAUCCGUAGAUAUUCGGAGGAACACCAGUGGCGAAGGCGGCCUUCUGGACUGAUACUGACACUGAGGUGCGAAAGCGUGGGGAGCGAACAGGAUUAGAUA